rnacentral:rRNA from 1 species
CCCUUAGAUGUCCUGGGCCGCACGCGCGUUACACUGAUGCAUUCAACGAGCUUAUAACCUUGGCCGAGAGGCCUGGGCAAUCUUGUUAACGUGCAUCGUGAUAGGGAUAGAUUAUUGAAAUUAUUAAUCUUGAACGAGGAAUUCCUAGUAAACGCAGAUCAUCAAUCUGCAUUGAUUACGUCCCUGCCCUUUGUACACACCGCCCGUCGCACCUACCGAUUGGAUGGUACGGUGAAGCCUCGGGAUUGUGGUUCUUGCCGCUUUAUUGUGGCGUGACCGCGAGAACUUGUCUAAACCUUAUCAUCUAGAGGAAGGUGAAGUCGUAACA